rnacentral:rRNA from 1 species
CGCUAGCUACAGGCUUAACACAUGCAAGUCGAGGGGCAGCAUGGUCUUAGCUUGCUAAGGCCGAUGGCGACCGGCGCACGGGUGAGUAACACGUAUCCAACCUGCCGUCUACUCUUGGACAGCCUUCUGAAAGGAAGAUUAAUACAAGAUGGCAUCAUGAGUCCGCAUGUUCACAUGAUUAAAGGUAUUCCGGUAGACGAUGGGGAUGCGUUCCAUUAGAUAGUAGGCGGGGUAACGGCCCACCUAGUCUUCGAUGGAUAGGGGUUCUGAGAGGAAGGUCCCCCACAUUGGAACUGAGACACGGUCCAAACUCCUACGGGAGGCAGCAGUGAGGAAUAUUGGUCAAUGGGCGAGAGCCUGAACCAGCCAAGUAGCGUGAAGGAUGACUGCCCUAUGGGUUGUAAACUUCUUUUAUAAAGGAAUAAAGUCGGGUAUGGAUACCCGUUUGCAUGUACUUUAUGAAUAAGGAUCGGCUAACUCCGUGCCAGCAGCCGCGGUAAUACGGAGGAUCCGAGCGUUAUCCGGAUUUAUUGGGUUUAAAGGGAGCGUAGAUGGAUGUUUAAGUCAGUUGUGAAAGUUUGCGGCUCAACCGUAAAAUUGCAGUUGAUACUGGAUAUCUUGAGUGCAGUUGAGGCAGGCGGAAUUCGUGGUGUAGCGGUGAAAUGCUUAGAUAUCACGAAGAACUCCGAUUGCGAAGGCAGCCUGCUAAGCUGCAACUGACAUUGAGGCUCGAAAGUGUGGGUAUCAAACAGGAUUAGAUACCCUGGUAGUCCACACGGUAAACGAUGAAUACUCGCUGUUUGCGAUAUACAGCAAGCGGCCAAGCGAAAGCGUUAAGUAUUCCACCUGGGGAGUACGCCGGCAACGGUGAAACUCAAAGGAAUUGACGGGGGCCCGCACAAGCGGAGGAACAUGUGGUUUAAUUCGAUGAUACGCGAGGAACCUUACCCGGGCUUAAAUUGCAGAUGAAUUACGGUGAAAGCCGUAAGCCGCAAGGCAUCUGUGAAGGUGCUGCAUGGUUGUCGUCAGCUCGUGCCGUGAGGUGUCGGCUUAAGUGCCAUAACGAGCGCAACCCUUGUUGUCAGUUACUAACAGGUUCCGCUGAGGACUCUGACAAGACUGCCAUCGUAAGAUGUGAGGAAGGUGGGGAUGACGUCAAAUCAGCACGGCCCUUACGUCCGGGGCUACACACGUGUUACAAUGGGGGGUACAGAGGGCCGCUACCACGCGAGUGGAUGCCAAUCCCAAAAACCUCUCUCAGUUCGGACUGGAGUCUGCAACCCGACUCCACGAAGCUGGAUUCGCUAGUAAUCGCGCAUCAGCCACGGCGCGGUGAAUACGUUCCCGGGCCUUGCACACACCGCCC